rnacentral:misc_RNA from 1 species
GAUGAAGAACGCAGCGAAAUGCGAUAAGUAAUGUGAAUUGCAGAAUUCAGUGAAUCAUCGAAUCUUUGAACGCACAUUGCGCCCCUUGGUAUUCCGAGGGGCAUGCCUGUUCGAGCGUCAUUAUAACCCCUCAAGCUUAGCUUGGUGUUGGGGCCUGCUGUAAUAGAGCAGCCAUUAAAAUCAGUGGCGGUGCCAUUAGGCUCUAAGCGUAGUAAUUCUUCUCGCUAUAGGGUUCUGGUGGAUGCUUGCCAUUAACCUCUAAUUUUCUAUGGUUGACCUCGGAUCAGGUAGGGAUACCCGCUGAACUUAAGCAUAUCAAUAAGCGGAGGA